GAAGGUAUGUGAAGGAGAAUGAUAGAAAAAAGAGGGGAGAGAGGGAAGGAAGAUGUGUGAAGGAGAAUGAUAGAAAGAAAAGGGGAGAGAGGGAAGGAAGGUGAGUGAAGGAGAAUGAUAGGAAGAAGAGGGGAGAGAGGGAAGGAAGGUAUGUGAAGGAGAAUGAUAGGAAGAAGAGGGGAGAGAGGGAAGGAAGGUGAGUGAAGGAGAAUGAUAGGAAGAAGAGGGGAGAGAGGGAAGGAAGGUGAGUGAAGGAGAAUGAUAGGAAGAAGAGGGGAGAGAGGGAAGGAAGGUGAGUGAAGGAGAAUGAUAGGAAGAAGAGGGGAGAGAGGGAAGGAAGGUGUGUGAAGGAGAAUGAUAGGAAGAAGAGAGGGAAGGAUAGAUAAAUGGGAGGAGAAAACAGAGGAGGGAAUGAAAAGAAAAAGGGAAAAGUAAAGGAAGAAAAUAUCAGUGAGAGGGAAGGAAGAGAAAAAAAAAGAGAGGAAGGGAAUAUAAAUGAGAUUAAGGAUAGGGGAAGAGAAGGGAAAACCGGAAAGAAUGAAGGACAAAGAUUCACGAGGGAAAAAAGAAGAGGGAAAAGAGA